rnacentral:rRNA from 1 species
GAUGAACGCUGGCUACAGGCUUAACACAUGCAAGUCGAGGGGAAACGACGGGGAAGCUUGCUUCCCCGGGCGUCGACCGGCGCACGGGUGAGUAACGCGUAUCCAACCUGCCUCUGACUGAGGGAUAACCCGUCGAAAGUUGGCCUAAUACCUCAUGGCAUCGUCUGCGGGCAUCCAACGACGAUUAAAGAUUUCAUCGGUCAGGGAUGGGGAUGCGUCUGAUUAGCUUGUUGGCGGGGUAACGGCCCACCAAGGCUACGAUCAGUAGGGGUUCUGAGAGGAAGGUCCCCCACAUUGGAACUGAGACACGGUCCAAACUCCUACGGGAGGCAGCAGUGAGGAAUAUUGGUCAAUGGGCGGGAGCCUGAACCAGCCAAGUAGCGUGCAGGAUGACGGCCCUAUGGGUUGUAAACUGCUUUUAUGCGGGGAUAAAGUGAGGGACGUGUCCUUCAUUGCAGGUACCGCAUGAAUAAGGACCGGCUAAUUCCGUG